GAUGAACGCUGACAGAAUGCUUAACACAUGCAAGUCUACUUGAUUCUACUUCGGUAGUUGAUGGUGGCGGACGGGUGAGUAACGCGUAAAGAAUCUGCCCUUUAGUUUGGGCUAACCUUUGGAAACGAAGGCUAAUACCGAAUAUUAUGCAGAUGUCGCAUGACGACUUCAUGAAAGCUAAAUGCGCUAGAGGGGGACUUUGCGUCCCAUUAGUUAGAUGGUCAGAUAAUGGCUCACCAAGACCGCGAUGGGUAUCAGGGCUAAAAGGGUGAUCGGCCACAAGGGAACUGAGACACGGUCCUUUCUCCUACGGGAGGCAGCAGUGGGGAAUAUUGGACAAUGGACCACAAGUCUGAUCCAGCAAUUCUGUGUGCACGAUGAAGGUCUUCGGAUUGUAAAGUGCUUACAGUAGGGAAGAAAAAAAUGACGGUACCUACAGAAGAAGCGACGGCUAAAUAUGUGCCAGCCGCCGCGGUAAGAC
rnacentral:rRNA from 1 species